GGCACUUUGGCCGAGCGGUCUAAGGCGCCGUGUUCAGGUUUAGCUUGGAUCUGCCAAGCAAUCUAUUCGCGGUCUAGAAAUAGGCGAGGGUUCGAAUCCCUCAGGUGUCA
rfam:Trichoderma atroviride IMI 206040 TRIATcontig_26, whole genome shotgun sequence.